GGCGUGCCUAAUACAUGCAAGUCGAACGGACAAGUAAGAGCUUGCUCUUAUGAGUUAGUGGCGCACGGGUGAGUAAUGUAUAGCUAAUCUGCCCUACACUAGAGGACAACAGUUGGAAACGACUGCUAAUACUCUAUACACCUCUCUAGCAUAAGUUAGAUAGGGAAAGUUUUUCGGUGUAGGAUGAGGCUAUAUUGUAUCAGCUAGUUGGUGAGGUAAUGGCUCACCAAGGCUAUGACGCAUAACUGGUCUGAGAGGAUGAUCAGUCACACUGGAACUGAGACACGGUCCAGACUCCUACGGGAGGCAGCAGUAGGGAAUAUUGCUCAAUGGGGGAAACCCUGAAGCAGCAACGCCGCGUGGAGGAUGACACUUUUCGGAGCGUAAACUCCUUUUGUUAGGGAAGAACAAUGAC
rnacentral:rRNA from 1 species